UCGCGCCCGGCAACAUGCGAUUCGUCAUGUCCGGAUUGUUAUUGCCUUGAUUAUUCCUGCGAGUAAUCACGAGACGAUAUCAUUAAUUCAGUAAUAUAUUUGAUGUUUUGAAAAACAUUAUAAUACGUACGCUGGUAUUGAGGUACGAUAUUUGUUGCGGACUCGGAACAGGCAUGAGCUCUUUGACAACUUGACCACCAGGACCCAUUUGCUGUUUCUGUUGCGCCAUCGACGGUAACGAUCGACAAAACAUUGCAUCAACUGGAAAAUAAUAUUUUACUAUAGCAACGAAUAGGCUACUAGAUAGAUCAUUCACGCUGGAAACUGUUACAAUAGUAAUCAUUUUAAAUAAACUUCGAAGAUUUGAUUUGUUAAUGCGAUUCUACAUGGUUAUUUUUAAAAAAGACUGAUAGGAUAAUUGAACUUUUCUUUACGCUUAAUUAAACACUUGAACAGAAAAAAUUAGUUCUUAUCACACGAAACUUAUCCGUUAAUGUCAGGCUCAUUCUUUUUAAGUAAACAAAGGUUGCUCAACUCUAACUAUGUUUAAGUUCUUUUGAACAAAGUAUUAAAAGGAAAGCAAAGGACUCAUCGCGCCUAGAUGAUUUUGCGACAUAGGAGUACCAGGAUUGCUGUGAUUCAGUCUGUUGGCGUUCGCCGCCGCCGCCGCGGCUGUAGCCGGCGAAUCCUGGCUUGUUGGACUCUGUCCAGGCAAUUG